rfam:Hordeum vulgare subsp. vulgare, WGS project CAJW01000000 data, contig: morex_contig_48467
AAUAUACUCCCUCCGUCCUAAAAUUCUUGUCUUAGUUUGUCUAAAAAAUGAAAUAUCAAAAUACUAAAACAUGACUAGAUACAUUCAUAUCUUAACAAACCUAAAACAAGAAUUUUAGGACGGAGAAAGUAUAUG